AACGAACGCUGGCGGCAGGCUUAACACAUGCAAGUCGAACGCGUGUAGCAAUACACGAGUGGCGCACGGGUGAGUAACGCGUGGAUAUCUGCCUUUUGGUUCGGAAUAACUCCGGGAAACUGGAGCUAAUACCGGAUGGUUCCUACGGGAUAAAGAUUUAUCGCCAAAAGAUGAGUCCGCGUACGAUUAGCUAGUUGGUGAGGUAAUGGCUCACCAAGGCGACGAUCGUUAGCUGGUCUGAGAGGACGAUCAGCCACACUGGGACUGAGACACGGCCCAGACUCCUACGGGAGGCAGCAGUGGGGAAUAUUGGACAAUAGGGGGCGGAACCCUACGAUCCAGCCACUGCCGCCGUGAGUGAUGAAGGCC
rnacentral:rRNA from 1 species